AGAACGAACGCUGGCGGCAUGCCUAAUACAUGCAAGUCGAACGAACUCUUCGGAGUUAGUGGCGCACGGGUGCGUAACGCGUGGGAAUCUGCCCCUUGGUUCGGAAUAACAGUUGGAAACGACUGCUAAUACCGGAUGAUGACGAAAGUCCAAAGAUUUAUCGCCAAGGGAUGAGCCCGCGUAGGAUUAGCUAGUUGGUGAGGUAAAGGCUCACCAAGGCAACGAUCCUUAGCUGGUCUGAGAGGAUGAUCAGCCACACUGGGACUGAGACACGGCCCAGACUCCUACGGGAGGCAGCAGUGGGGAAUUUGGACAAUGGGCGAAAGCCUGAUCCAGCAGUGCCGCGUGCAGGAAGAAGGCCUUCGGUGUAAACUGCUUUGUACGGAACGAACGGUCUGCUUAAUACAGUGGCUAAUGACGGUACCGUAAGAAUAAGCACGCUAACUACGUGCCAGCAGCCGC
rnacentral:rRNA from 1 species